rnacentral:rRNA from 1 species
CGAGCGAACGGACGAGAAGCUUGCUUUUCUGAUGUUAGCGGCGGACGGGUGAGUAACACGUGGAUAACCUACCUAUAAGACUGGGAUAACUUCGGGAAACCGGAGCUAAUACCGGAUAAUAUUUUGAACCGCAUGGUUCAAAAGUGAAAGACGGUCUUGCUGUCACUUAUAGAUGGAUCCGCGCUGCAUUAGCUAGUUGGUAAGGUAACGGCUUACCAAGGCAACGAUGCAUAGCCGACCUGAGAGGGUGAUCGGCCACACUGGAACUGAGACACGGUCCAGACUCCUACGGGAGGCAGCAGUAGGGAAUCUUCCGCAAUGGGCGAAAGCCUGACGGAGCAACGCCGCGUGAGUGAUGAAGGUCUUCGGAUCGUAAAACUCUGUUAUUAGGGAAGAACAUAUGUGUAAGUAACUGUGCACAUCUUGACGGUACCUAAUCAGAAAGCCACGGCUAACUACGUGCCAGCAGCCGCGGUAAUACGUAGGUGGCAAGCGUUAUCCGGAAUUAUUGGGCGUAGAGCGCGCGUAGGCGGUUUUUUAAGUCUGAUGUGAAAGCCCACGGCUCAACCGUGGAGGGUCAUUGGAAACUGGAAAACUUGAGUGCAGAAGAGGAAAGUGGAAUUCCAUGUGUAGCGGUGAAAUGCGCAGAGAUAUGGAGGAACACCAGUGGCGAAGGCGACUU